UCCUUGGUAGCUCAGUGGUAGAGUAAUUGAUUGUUAACUCACUAGUUGUAGGUUUGAAUCCUAUUGGGAA
rfam:Glycine max cultivar Williams 82 chromosome 8, whole genome shotgun sequence.